rnacentral:rRNA from 1 species
AACCUGGCGGCGAGUGGCGAACGGGUGAGUUAUAUAUCGGAACGUACCCAAGAGUGGGGGAUAACGUAGCGAAAGUUACGCUAAUACCGCAUACGAUCUAAGGAUGAAAGCAGGGGACCGUCAAGGCCUUGUGCUCCUGGAGCGGCCGAUAUCUGAUUAGCUAGUUGGUGAGGUAAAGGCUCACCAAGGCGACGAUCAGUAGCUGGUCUGAGAGGACGACCAGCCACACUGGAACUGAGACACGGUCCAGACUCCUACGGGAGGCAGCAGUGGGGAAUUUUGGACAAUGGGCGCAAGCCUGAUCCAGCAAUGCCGCGUGAGUGAAGAAGGCCUUCGGGUUGUAAAGCUCUUUUGUCAGGGAAGAAACGGUGCGGGCUAAUAUCCCGUGCUAAUGACGGUACCUGAAGAAUAAGCACCGGCUAACUACGUGCCAGCAGCCGCGGUAAUACGUAGGGUGCAAGCGUUAAUCGGAAUUACUGGGCGUAAAGCGUGCGCAGGCGGUUUUGUAAGUCUGUCGUGAAAUCCCCGGGCUCAACCUGGGAAUUGCGAUGGAGACUGCAAGGCUAGAAUCUGGCAGAGGGGGGUAGAAUUCCACGUGUAGCAGUGAAAUGCGUAGAGAUGUGGAGGAACACCGAUGGCGAAGGCAGCCCCCUGGGUCAAGAUUGACGCUCAUGCACGAAAGCGUGGGGAGCAAACAGGAUUAGAUACCCUGGUAGUCCACGCCCUAAACGAUGUCUACUAGUUGUCGGGUUUUAAUUAACUUGGUA